GGGGAUAAAAAAACUCAGGAGGCGGAGGCUAUAAAUAGCUCCGAGACAGAGAAAAGAGACAUCGAAGAGAGCGAACAGAUUUACAUGCAAAACAUUAGGCGUGAAAGGCUCUUACAGUUUUCACAAGCAGAAAUUUUAAAAAAUCCUGUUCAAUCAAAAUCUACAAAGAAGCAAGAAAUGUGUGGACUUAAAUGCCCAGCAAAGGGAAAGCAAAGAAGUGGAAUAGUACAAACUAUAGGCAGCCACACAAGCCAAUUUCCCAGCCAGCCCAUCAUUGUGCCUGAGGAUGGAACGACGCCAGUGGCAAAAUAAAUGGAUCGCAAAGGAAGUGGCAGGAAGCUUUUGGCUCCUGCUUCUUCUCAGUUGGCAAGUGCACAACCUCAAUCUUUCCAGACAUUCUAACACCAAUCAGAUGGGAUCACUUAACGGAACUCUGUCAGUCUCAACCCAUAGAUGGAGUGUCCUGCAUAUAUUGGUAGGGUUGACUUGUAUACUAAUGAUAUAGGGUAAAUAUUAUGCCAUAGACAUAACAAAAGUAACACACGCAAUUUCUGAAGGUGUGCCACAGAAUGUAACAAAUUAAAUAAAUACAUGAAAUUGCUUUUCUUUUUGUCA